rnacentral:rRNA from 1 species
UACGAGGGGGGCGAGCGUUGUUCGGAAUUAUUGGGCGUAAAGGGUGCGUAGGCGGUUUGGUAAGUCUGAUGUGAAAUCUAUGGGCUCAACUCAUAGUCUGCAUCGGAAACUGCCGGGCUUGUGUGUGGGAGAGGUGAGUGGAAUUCCUGGUGUAGCGGUGAAAUGCGUAGAUAUCAGGAGGAACACCUGUGGCGAAAGCGGCUCACUGGACCAUAACUGACGCUGAUGCACGAAAGCUAGGGGAGCAAACAGG